rnacentral:tRNA from 1 species
GGGGUUGUAGCUCAGUGUUAGAGUAUCUGCUUGGCACUGAGAAUGUCUCAGGUUCAGUCCCUGUCAUUGCCA